rnacentral:rRNA from 1 species
GACGAACGCUGGCGGCGUGCUUAACACAUGCAAGUCGAACGGUAAGGCCCUUCGGGGUACACGAGUGGCGAACGGGUGAGUAACACGUGGGUGAUCUGCCCUGCACUUCGGGAUAAGCCUGGGAAACUGGGUCUAAUACCGGAUAGGACCACUGCCUGCAUGGGUGGUGGUGGAAAGCUUUUGCGGUGUGGGAUGGGCCCGCGGACUAUCAGCUUGGUGGUGGGGGGAUGGCCUACCAAGGCGACGACGGGUAGCCGGCCUGGGAGGGUGACCGGCCACACUGGGACUGAGAUACGGCCCAGACUCCUACGGGAGGCAGCAGUGGGGAAGAUUGCACAAUGGGCGCAAGCCUGAUGCAGCGACGCCGCGUGAGGGAUGACGGCCUUCGGGUUGUAAACCUCUUUCAGCACCGACGAAGCGCAAGUGACGGUAGGUGCAGAAGAAGGACCGGCCAACUACGUGCCAGCCGCCGCGGUAA